CUCUCACGCACUGACCCGCAGCUUCCGAUGUCACAGACACAUUAAAGGCGAGUUUAUUAUCAGGCCGGAGAAAGACAACACACUCAGUGCCUGAAUUAUGAUGACAGUUGGAAAUCCGUUGUCUCAAGCAUGAAGCCAAAUGGACUGUAUUUCUUCUCUCUGUAAAAACAUACAUUAUUGAGGGCUGAAGGGCAGACUCUCAGUAGGUAAGCGUUCUGUAGUCGUGGCCCUCACUUAACCAGCACUGGGGGCCAGAUCACUUUGAUAAAGCAACUAUUUAACCCUGACUUGAACUCCCACUGAAAAUACAACCCUCAUAUGGCACUAUCUCCGAGAGGUCGCGAAUAAAACAGCGACGGGAAAGAAAAUAUCACGUGCGUCCGAUGAGACAGAGAAAGCAAACAUUUGCUCAAAUUCAUAAGCUUGUUAUUUGGGUUUGCCUAAGAUCUUAUCACCUAUCCCGAUCCAAAACACUUACAGAUAGUAAAUAUUGUCUGGGGGACUUAAACAUCUCAUUUUUGUCACCCAAUUUAUAUAAGCCAACUGCGUGAUUUUUAAUUUUUUAUUUUUUUGUCUCUAAAAAUGAACAGCAUCAACUGCACUUUGUCUGUCUUAGCGUUCCUGAUCAUCUAAAACAGUAGACAUAAUGUGGAUACAUCUACAUAUUAAAAAAUCAUUCUCACAACCCAACAAAAACCUAGACAGUUGUCAAUCAGGCAUCUGUCACUAGUAAGUUUCCCAGGGUUGGGCUGUGUGCUGGCAUCCCCACACUGUUUUCAGAUAAACAGUUCCUAUUACACUGCAAACAGCUCGCUGUGCCCUCCCCUCCCCCUCCGAAAACAGAGUCAUAAUUCAAAACAAAUGAUUCCAGGCUUUGAUGAGAGCACUUUUAUGGGUCACAGAGAGUGAACUUCCCUACCGACAUCUGUUUGAUUUUAUCUACUUGAACUUUAUCCUCAGCCGGAGAUUUAUCGGCCUGCGCUGGACCGAGCCUGUUAAAGUCGCCGUAACAUACAGGAGUAAAAGAAGAUAUGGAGAAGAAAAAAAGUGGAGGACAGCACAUUCCUGUGGAAUGAGUUGGACUGGCUGGCAGAGAUGGCCCAGAAAAGCUGAGAGUGAUGAAUACCAUAGGCCUGUGAAGUGGAACAAGACAGAAGGAAUCCUUAUGACGCUUCACCAAAACCAUUACACCAAGAAAAACACACACACACACACACACACACACAAUUACAUAAAAUAAAAACAAAGAACCAUGAACUCAUACACUACAGAUGCUCUAAACUGGCUGAAUGUUGGACCAACUGCAGCCCAGAUGACCAAAUCUCCAAAACCACAAGGGUGGUUUCCAAAUCAGUAUGAGAUCUAAAAUCAAAUGGAAGCUUCCAAGGCUGGAACGUAAAAAAAUUAACUAUACUGGUGACUCUUCAGGUGGGUACAGAAAGGGACACCCUUCAAGGAGCCCACGUCAAGGAGAUCAAAAUGACAGAAUUUCUUCUGAAUAUUAAAGGGAUUGACCAAAAUAAAAAAGAGACUUUUUUGCCA
ensembl:lncRNA